GGAGAGGUGGCAGAGCGGCCUAAUGCACCUGACUCGAAAUCAGGAGUACGCUAUCGUGUACCGUGGGUUCAAAUCCCACCCUCUCCG
rnacentral:tRNA from 1 species